rnacentral:ncRNA from 1 species
AUUUAGAUAUGUGUAUGUACCUUUUAUAGCACUAUUAGCAUUAGCAUUGCCUUAAAUGACGGGGCAAUUAAAACUCUUUUAACUGCUGGAACAUCCUUAGAGCUUAUUAGACUACAACGUGACUGGUGACAGUGAGCGUGAAUGUUUAAAAACUAAUAAGAUUGGACAAUCAGCAACUAGUUAAAACUUCCACAUGGAAGUUACUAGCUCAACGACUAUCGAAACCACAUCAUUUGAUGGAAGGAAGUAGAGUACCCCACAAGCGUGGUUACAUUUAGGCAUAAAUGUAAGUAUAGUAAACUAAUACUAUAUGGGAAACAAAGAGCAUGAUGAAGGCAAAAAGCUGGAGUGAAGAUAUAGUCUCAACUUCUAUGGAAACAUAGAG